rnacentral:rRNA from 1 species
UGGGGAAUAUUGCACAAUGGGCGCAAGCCUGAUGCAGCCAUGCCGCGUGUGUGAAGAAGGCCUUCGGGUUGUAAAGCACUUUCAGCGAGGAGGAAGGUGGUGAGCUUAAUACGCUCAUCAAUUGACGUUACUCGCAGAAGAAGCACCGGCUAACUCCGUGCCAGCAGCCGCGGUAAUACGGAGGGUACAAGCGUUAAUCGGAAUUACUGGGCGUAAAGCGCACGCAGGCGGUUUGUUAAGUCAGAUGUGAAAUCCCCGGGCUCAACCUGGGAACUGCAUUUGAAACUGGCAAGCUAGAGUCUCGUAGAGGGGGGUAGAAUUCCAGGUGUAGCGGUGAAAUGCGUAGAGAUCUGGAGGAAUACCGGUGGCGAAGGCGGCCCCCUGGACGAAGACUGACGCUCAGGUGCGAAAGCGUGGGGCAGCAAACAGGAUUAGAUACCCUGGUAGUCCACGCUGUAAACGAUGUCGAUUUUGGAGGUUGUGCCCUUGAGGCGUGGCUUCCGGAGCUAACGCGUUAAAUCGACCGCCUGGGGAGUACGGCCGCAAGGUUAAAACUCAAAGGAAUUGACGGGGUC